UAGAAAUAUGAAACAUGAUUUAAUUUAAUUAGUUUAGUUACAAAAUAUAAAUAGUUGUAUUUCAGCAUUUCUUUCUGGAUAUUGUGUCGUUAGGUAAUGAAACCUACAUGUUUUAAAAGGUAGCACAAUUUGACUGACAACACACAGUUCUGGCUGAAAAGAGCACUAAAUUUGAAAUGUAGGGAAAAAAAAGAAGGAGAAGAAAAGACGGCAUUGGUUUGUGUCAGAAUACUGAUUUAUUACAAAAUUAAAAUAGAUAUUUAUAAAACUCAGCGUGGAAAUUUAUUGUCGCCAUACGAGUAUAGUAUAUAGUUCCGGAGAUUCAGAUUUUGGUUUCUGGAUUUUAAUAGGUCGAGGCAAAUGUUGCUUUCCUUUGCCAAGUUGCUGAGGAAAGAGGAGCGUGCCCUUGAGCGUGGCAGGCUGAUGUAAGAGACGGGUCUUCUCUUCGUCCAGUUCGGGACGCCUUCACGGCCAUUGUUACGAGUUCCAACCCAAAUGCUAAUUUUGACUGCAGCAGACUUUUUUCUGUCGUCUGUCUUGUUCGUCAGGCGGAAUGCAGAGGAGUUAAUUCGGAGGAAUAAACAUCGUCUGUGGCAGCAGGUAUGUGUUGGCCCUUUGAAAACCUUAGGAAAUCCUUUGGAAACCCUUAGAAAAUCCUUAGGUAGCCCUUAAGAAGCUCAUAGUUUACUUGUAGAACAAGUUUUGUCAUUGUCAUAGAUCGGUAAACUUUUGCUUUUGUCACAUUUAUAAUGAAUAAUUUUAAUAUCAUAAUCAAGGUUUACUGAGGUCUGAUGGACAGUGUUGCUUGCCAAAUUUAAUGCUUAGGUGUAACUUUUCAUAUAAUAAUUACCAGAAUAAAAUUUAAUUAAACAACUAGUUUGUUGGUGAUUUAUCCUAUAGUGUAAGAAUACAGAUAUGAAUGAACCAACAGCUCUACCGUUAGCAGUCUGAGCUAGAAGUUGAAUUUUUUAGGGUAUGUAGGAGUUUUGAAAGAAGAAAUAAAACGACUAUCAAGUGAA